rnacentral:rRNA from 1 species
UAGGACUCUCGGCAAUGGAUAUCUUGGCUCUCGCAUCGAUGAAGAGCGCAGCGAAAUGCGAUACGUGGUGCGAAUUGCAGAAUCCCGUGAACCAUCGAGUUUUUGAACGCAAGUUGCGCCCGAGGCCUGCUGGCCAAGGGCACGUCCGCCUGGGCGUCAAGC